rnacentral:rRNA from 1 species
GGUGAACGCUGGCGGCGUGCUUAAGACAUGCAAGUCGAACGGCAGUCUUCGGACUGUAGUGGCGCACGGGUGAGUAACGCGUAACUGACCUACCCCAAAGUCGCGGAUAACGAUUCGAAAGAAUCGCUAAUACGUGAUGUGCUGUCAGAUUGUGUUCUGCCAGUAAAGAUUGAUUGCUUUGGGAUGGGGUUGCGUUCCAUCAGCUAGUUGGUGGGGUAAAGGCCCACCAAGGCGACGACGGAUAGCCGGCCUGAGGGGGUGGCCGGCCACAGGGGCACUGCGACACGGGUCCCACUCCUACGGGAGGCAGCAGUUAGGAAUCUUCCACAAUGGGCGAAAGCCUGAUGGAGCGACGCCGCGUGAGGGAUGAAGGUCUUCGGAUCGUAAACCUCUGAAUCAGGGACGAAAGACACUUCGGUGGGAUGACGGUACCUGAGUAAUAGCACCGGCUAACUCCGUGCCAGCCGCCGCGGUAACAC